CCUACGGGGGGCUGCAGUGGGGAAUAUUGCGCAAUGGGCGAAAGCCUGACGCAGCGACGCCGCGUGAGGGAUGAAGGUCUUCGGAUCGUAAACCUCUGUCAGCAGGGAAGAACGGUCACUGUGCUAAUCAGCAGUGAAUUGACGGUACCUGCAAAGGAAGCACCGGCUAACUCCGUGCCAGCAGCCGCGGUAAUACGGAGGGUGCGAGCGUUAAUCGGAAUUACUGGGCGGAAAGCGCUCGUAGGCGGUAUGUCCAGUCACGGGGGAAAUCCCCGCGCUCAACGUGGGAACCGCCUUUGAAACUAGCAAACUGGAGUGUGUGAGAGGAUAGUGGAAUUCCAGGUGUAGGAGUGAAAUCCGUAGAUAUCUGGAGGAACAUCAGUGGCGAAGGCGACUAUCUGGCACAUAACUGACGCUGAGGAGCGAAAGCGUGGGUAGCAAACAGGAUUAGAUACCCCAGUAGUC
rnacentral:rRNA from 1 species